AACGAAUGCUGGCGGCAGGCUUAACACAUGCAAGUCGAACGCAUCCUUCGGGGUGAGUGGCAGACGGGUGAGUAACGCGUGGGAACGUGCCCUUCAGUUCGGGAUAACCCAGGGAAACUUGGGCUAAUACCGGAUACGUGCGAGAGCAGAAAGAUUUAUCGCUGAAGGAUCGGCCCGCGUCUGAUUAGCUAGUUGGUGGGGUAAUGGCCCACCAAGGCGACGAUCAGUAGCUGGUCUGAGAGGAUGAUCAGCCACAUUGGGACUGAGACACGGCCCAAACUCCUACGGGAGGCAGCAGUGGGGAAUAUUGGACAAUGGGCGCAAGCCUGAUCCAGCCAUGCCGCGUGAGUGAUGAAGGCCUUAGGGUUGUAAAGCUCUUUCGUCCGGGACGAUAAUGACGGCACCGGAAGAAGAAGCCCCGGCUAACUUCGUGCCAGCCGCCGCGGUAA
rnacentral:rRNA from 1 species